UGAGUCUUGUAGAGGGGGGUAGAAUUCCAGGUGUAGCGGUGAAAUGCGUAGAGAUCUGGAGGAAUACCGGUGGCGAAGGCGGCCCCCUGGACAAAGACUGACGCUCAGGUGCGAAAGCGUGGGGAGCAAACAGGAUUAGAUACCCUGGUAGUCCACGCCGUAAACGAUGUCUACUUGGAGGCUGUGCCCUUGAGGCGUGGCUUCCGGAGCUAACGCGUUAAGUAGACCGCCUGGGGAGUACGGCCGCAAGGUUAAAACUCAAAUGAAUUGACGGGGGCCCGCACAAGCGGUGGAGCAUGUGGUUUAAUUCGAUGCAACGCGAAGAACCUUACCUGGUCUUGACAUCCACAGAAGUUUGCAGAGAUGCGAAUGUGCCUUCGGGAACUGUGAGACAGGUGCUGCAUGGCUGUCGUCAGCUCGUGUUGUGAAAUGUUGGGUUAAGUCCCGCAACGAGCGCAACCCUUAUCCUUUGUUGCCAGCGGUUAGG
rnacentral:rRNA from 1 species